rnacentral:tRNA from 1 species
GCGCGUGUAGCCCAACCGGUAGAGGCGACUCGCUUAGACCCAGUUUAGUGACGAGUUUGAAUCUCUCCACGCGCA